UUUUUUUUUUUUUUUGCUUUUGCAUGCCUUUGGAGGAAGAAGAUGGAGGAAAAAAAGGCUUGGAAGGAAACCUAAAAUAUUCAAGGGGGAGGUAGAAGCCUGAACAGCAUAGCUGAAAGAAAGAAAUGAAAGAAAGUAGAAGUGAAAGCAAAAGGACAAACUUGUUGGCACCACAGCUAGCCUCAUCUGAUGUUAAGAUUGCAGAUGAUGUAUUUCCUGUACAUUAAAGAACAAGUGGUGCUGAAGAAAUCAUCAAUACGGAAAGAGAUAGUAGAAGCUGCCAUUCCCAAAGACCAUUUUUUGAGAUUCACAGGUCUGGGUAAUAGCACAUGCCAAGAAAGCUAUUUAGCUUUUUGUUGUGGAUCUCUUUAAAACAACCUCCCUAGCUCAGCUCUGGCCUGAUAUUCUCACCUUGGUGUUCUAUCUGGUCACCUCUGAUCUUUUACUUAUGUUGUACCACAGCAUGGGAUUUUUUAUAGGAUUGCCCUGUCUCAUUGUUUUACCAUGUUCUAACCAGAAUCAGGGGUUUACAAAUGUAAAGAAAGUCAUUGAAAUAUCCAGUUUAAUUAAUCUACUGACCUUCUGCUGGAGUUGGGAGUUUUGGGUUAGUUUAUUUGAUAUUUCGUUUUUUUGUUAGGUUUUUCUUUUUCUUUCAUAUGUAUAAAGUCAGAUAAUUAAAUGCUGGAGUGUUUGGGGUGUUGUUUUGGGCUUGUUUUGCUUUGGUUUUGUUUUAAAAAAAAAUAAAAACCAAGCUGUAAUUAAGUAGGAAAUUUCUAGAAGACAGAUUUCAACAGAGUUUUCCAAAGAGCUGUCUACUCAUUCCUCCUCUCCCUCCAAAUCAGCAUAUUGGAAGUAUGCAUUUGUUCUGUAGUAAUGAGAAGUUAAUUUACAGUUUCUUCAAUCCUUACUUGGAGAAAUCCAAAUGAAGAGAGGAAACUAUUUUUGGUCUAGGAACAUAUGGAAAGAAAUGGGAGAACUCACAUCUCACAUUAACCACGAUCUUCAAAAAUCAGAAUAAAAACAAAGACUAAAGAUUAACUAACUGAACAUCUUUGUAUCAUUUGAAAGCACGUUGUCACGUUUCUCCCAUUGUUCUCUCAAGUUCUCAUUAUUGUAACUGUAUUUACAACACUGUUACUCUCUUCUGUUGUCUGUGAAAGUUGAUUCCUCAGUUUGAUAGAGCACAAGGACUUGGGUUGUAAUUCAAUUUGUUUUGUCAAUAUCAGUUUGACUAUAUCCUUUUCUACAUUUUGCAAGGAAAUUGUUUUCAUCUUCAGUCUUACAUUUGUUGGAUCAAGUUGCUAGCUACCAUAAGGCAUCAAAAGUCUACUAAAUUUAUGCUAUUGAUAAAUCUGUCCCAUGGUUACGGGCCAGAAAAAGCUAUUGAGGAGAGUCAAUGUUACAUCAAAUAUUUUGCUUAGAUACUGGGCUGUGGAAAAAGAUAGAGUGGUGCAACUUUUUUUGGCAAAGUAGUAUCUUAAAGUGGUUUAGAUUGCAAAUUGGGGAAAAGAUCAUUUGUACAUAUUGUAUAAAUCCAUCGUUGCAUAUUGCUUAUGCUUCUCAUCUACACGAGCCUGAGGCUUAAGUUCUCAGUUCAGAGGUCCUAAAAAAUUUCUUUCUCAUUCUGAUAGAAAGUAAACAUUUUUGCUGCUGCCACAAUGGCAUAGGUACAUUUCAAACCCCAAAUAUAUCCAGUUCAUCCAAUACAAACUGCAGGAGUUUAAGUUUAGGUUGCUUUUAAGCUGUUAAUAUCUCUUGUCUGCUCACCAGAUAAACUUACUGGAGGAAGCUGGCUGGUGUAACUGACUAAAGCUGAAAUUAUUUUGUAGCAACAAAAGGCACCGUGCUGCAUUUAUCAGAGAAAAAAAGGAGACAAUAUCUAAAGAAAUAUUCA